rnacentral:rRNA from 1 species
CAGUAGCCGCGGGAAUACAGAGGGUGCGAGCGUUAAUCGGAUUUACUGGGCGUAAAGCGUGCGUAGGCGGCUUUUUAAGUCGGAUGUGAAAUCCCUGAGCUUAACUUAGGAAUUGCAUUCGAUACUGGGAAGCUAGAGUAUGGGAGAGGAUGGUAGAAUUCCAGGUGUAGCGGUGAAAUGCGUAGAGAUCUGGAGGAAUACCGAUGGCGAAGGCAGCCAUCUUGCCUAAUACUGACGCUGAGGUACGAAAGCAUGGGGAGCAAACAGGAUUAGAUACCCCCGUAGUCCCUGUCUCUUAUAC